GGCCCUCGCAUUGUCCUUCCCCUCAUCGUCGUAUUCCUUCCAUUGCUCUUCGCUGGCCUACUCCACGCCCGACACGCGGAGAGGCUGCCACCAUGGCUCUCCAAGGGAAGGAUCUUCGUUUUGUGUGUCAAAGCGGUGGGGAUGCGCCUGUCGUGCCGCUCCGAGCAAAGGGGCUCCACUCCGUUCAGAGGACGACGACCCUUGCAGCGCCAGCCAUCGAGCAGCUUCGCGCCACCCCUCCAGUAUUCCAUCUGCCGGCGGCAUCUACAACCCCGACAACGGCGGGGAGCCGUUGCGGCAGUGUCUCUAGGCAGUAAGUGCGCCGUGGCUGCACGUGGCGUCCAAGGGCUCGACGUCGGACCUGCCCUCGUGUACCUGGUGUGUACCAGGCGAGUGUCACUUUCGCUACUGUGGUAUAUGUUUGCCUAGCAACAUGCUUGGUGCAGUUUUGGGAUCUUUAUUUGUAAGAUUACUAUCAUACCAUAGUUUGAGGUGCACAUAUUCGUUCCUACUACUGCAAACCAGUGCAAAUGUUCCUGUUCAUGCUCUACAAAGGGAUAUAUAGGAGCAUAGCGAGGAUUGCCGAGGGGCAGGAAUUUUUACCCAGUCCUUUGUUAUCAGUUCAGUGGAUGCAUCUCCUUUAUCUAUUUCAUAAUUUAGUUUUACAUUUCUGCAGCUUUUCAUUUCUUUGAUUUCAACUACUUAUCCAGAAAAAAAUGCCCUAUGAUUGAUAAGGUUGUUUUUAUGCAUGUUUGAGUGGUACCACAAGGUAUCAAUCAAGAUAUAUUACUAGGCUUAGCAUUUAUUUCACAUGUCUAUUGCCGUUCUAUCAGAUUUGCUUCUCUCAAAUUUACAUCUCCAAUUUACAUCUGUGUGCAUUGCCUUUGUUGCAGUAGGACAACCUAAGGGGCCAGGAAUUUGAAAAAAAAAAACACAGAUUUAUUUGCUUUGUGUGUUCCCAUCUGUCAUGCCUAGGAACCUUUUUUUUAUGUUAGUGCUUUGUAUAUAGUAAGACCAGGGAGGUCGAUCAAAGAACAAUAUCAACAUUUUUCCCUAGGAUGUCCAUUCAUUGUGAAUCUAUAGCUUCUUUUUCAUGUAUCCAUCAGAAAAUGUUCAUUUGUAUCAGCCAAAAAAAUAAUACAAAUUAAUGUUUAUUCUUGGUGAUGGUACUACUUUCGUGGCCCUGUUCACAAAUUGAUCUGAUGGAAGAUGCUUAUUUGCAGGCAGCUUUGUAGCAAUGAUAGGUUCCUAGCCUCGACACCAGCAAUUCACUCAUUUGCCUCCUUCAUUUGCCAAUUCAGUGACCUCAGCUCCAAUGUUCUCAUUUUGUAAUGUGGAAGCAGCAAUGGAUAUUAUGGUAUCAAGAAGUUAGCAUUAUUGUUGUGGAGGAUCUUAUCCUAAUAUGCAUCUGCACCUACGCAAGGGAAGAUCUUCUUGAACUGGUAAUAAUGCUCUACCUGUUGAUUCAAUGACAAGAUCUUUCAUGGAGGUGAACAUACUUCAGCUCAAUAUGUCAGUACCGCCUCCGUACUGUUUCAUGGGAAGGCCCUUCAGGAGGCUAAAUUUGACAAGAGCUUGCAUGGUGAGUUUGAUCCCCAUCAAGCAUGAUGUCACAGAUGAGUGGCCACCAGUUCCCCGUCUGAUUUAUGCUCAACCACAUUUCAAAACGUUGGAGGAGCUGAGGUUGACCAACACAUAUGACUUCCAGUUAAGUGUUUUCCUCAGUGGCAAUGUUUGUUCUCAGCGUCUGAAGGGUUUGAAUGCACCACUGUUAUCUCAAGAGUUAGCCCAG